rnacentral:tRNA from 1 species
CAAGUUAAGUCUUAGAGACAAAAAUUAUUUACAAUUAUUUUUUGACUUGUGCAAUUCAGUCUGACUUGA